UCCCUGCCUUUAAGACAUAUGAGACACUUUCAUCCUUUUCAAACUAAAAAUAUAUACUAUAAUGUAAAAGAAAUAUUUAAAUAAUAAAACUUUUCAUGAUACUAAAAAUUCUAAAAAACUCUUUUAAGUUCAUUUAUACAAUCAAUAAUGAUUAAAAAUUUACAAAUUAAUUUUCCUACGUUUAAACAUAAGAUGUAAUGUCUUGGCUAAUAAAACCUGAGCAUGAUCACAGUUCAUAAUAAAAUCAAAUUUUUCAUCAGAGUUAAAAGCAUUAAAAGUGUUAUUCAAAGCAUUAAUAUAAUUAAAAAGUUCUUCUCUUAUAUCUGAAUAAAAAUUACAGUCUAUUAAAAAAUGUUGUUCUGUCUCUAUAAAAUUGUCAUUGCAGAAAAGACAAAGUCUAUCACAUAAUGGAGUGGUCGGCUUGGUGUAACGUCCGGUCUCAACCGCAAGCGGCAGCGAUCCACAUCGAAAGUUUGAUAAAAUGCGUCGAUGGUCACGAAAGUUGAUUGUUUUAACAAAUAAACUAGUUUUGCAAUUGUUUUUAAACCUUCUGAAUGUUCUAAGCUUGUUUCCAUUUACAGAAUUUUUAUCGUCAAAAACAUCAAUUAACCAUUUCUCUUGAUCUAUAGCUGUUAAUUUGUCUUGAGCCAUUCGUAGCUUUUGUUUGGUUGUUAUGUUGAGAUUGAUUAAAAAGUUCAAUUCAGAUUUUCUCAGUAAAGCUAAUACACGUGAAUGCCA
rnacentral:lncRNA from 1 species